UAGAAGAGAUGGCGACCGGCGCACGGGUGAGUAACACGUAUCCAACCUGCCGAUAACUCCGGAAUAGCCUUUCGAAAGAAAGAUUAAUACCGGAUGGCAUACGAAUAUCGCAUGAUAUUUUUAUUAAAGAAUUUCGGUUAUCGAUGGGGGUGCGUUCCAUUAGUUUGUUGGCGGGGUAACGGCCCACCAAGACUACGAUGGAUAGGGGUUCUGAGAGGAAGGUCCCCCACAUUGGAACUGAGACACGGUCCAA
rnacentral:rRNA from 1 species